rnacentral:miRNA from 1 species
UCGAUGCCCGCAUUAUCAACCA